rnacentral:tRNA from 1 species
GGGGUUGUGGCUCAGUGUCAGGGCGCUUGCCUAGCAUGUAUGAGGCACUGGGUUCAAUUCUCAACACCA